UAGGGAAUCUUCCACAAUGGACGAAAGUCUGAUGGAGCAACGCCGCGUGAGUGAAGAAGGUUUUCGGAUCGUAAAGCUCUGUUGUUGGUGAAGAAGGAUAGAGGCAGUAACUGGUCUUUAUUUGACGGUAAUCAACCAGAAAGUCACGGCUAACUACGUGCCAGCAGCCGCGGUAAUACGUAGGUGGCAAGCGUUGUCCGGAUUUAUUGGGCGUAAAGCGAGCGCAGGCGGAAUGAUAAGUCUGAUGUGAAAGCCCACGGCUCAACCGUGG
rnacentral:rRNA from 1 species